AUAAAGCAUAGUAAGGAGUAGGAGCUACUUAAAGGAAUUGGCCACACCCUGUUUUUUCUUAGUUUAUUUCAUUGAAAUAUCCUAAAUACUGGUGACUAUAAACCAAAAUAUUACAUUACCCCACCCAUUAAACCAUAAUUUGGGGAUUUUUAAAAAAGCGCUGGAAAAACUAUCGCCACGAUCGGGAAUCCUGAUGACGUCACACGAGGCCUUCCCAGCCGCGAGGCAGUUUUCAGUACAUCAACAAUGGCUGACACUCACGACCACUCCGCCGAUUCUAGCUCCGAAUCUGUCGAUAUUUCGUCUGACAUAUCGGAUUUUAGUGAAUCCGAGUAUGUGUCAGACGUAGGAGAUGCUAUAGAAGAAUGUGGUGCCACAGAUCCAAAACAUGGCUGAAGUUUGUCAAUAGACCAGAUUUGAAUAGGAAAACCUGCAAAGAACUUAAUAAUACAUACAAGGUUUGUUCAAGACACUUCGCGCCUGAUAUGUACAUGAGUCCCAUAUCACCACGCCUGAAACAUUCAGCUGUUCCAACCAUACCUGUUCAGGAAAAAGUCUCACAAUGUGGGACUUUGUCAGUAGAAUCAACUGUGGCAGUUCCUUCUCCUAAGAUAGACACCCCAGAUGCUUCCUCAAAAAUAUGUGCGAUUGCAACAGAGUGUGUUGAAGAGUCUGAUGGCCCCCUGCAAAUAUUUAUACCCAGCACUGAUUCAGAAAAAGGAUCUUCCAGAGACAGUAUGGCAGCAGAGUCGUUAGAUGACUGGGGAUAUUUUGAUGGCGGUGGCGGUAACGACCCUUUGGAAGUUACCAGCUUCUCAUCAGAUAUGCCAAAGGAAGAAGCCAAUAACCAUGAAAAUACAUCCAGAGUGUUCUGCUCAGCAGACUUUUCAACUCCCGAAGGGAUGGUCAUCAAGCCAAACACAUCUCAACACCAAGAUAGUGGUGUUCUGGAUAAAUUGAAUGGUGAAAUUGCUCCUGAGUUCAUUGAGGUUAAGGAUGAGCCUUUGGAUGACUGGAGAGAUGUUGGUGAUUGUAACACUCAGGAAGAAUCAGGUGAUCUGCAUAAUGACUUGUUGUGUAGCCAAGAGAGGGAUGCACAUGGUGAAUCAGUUAAAGCUGAACCAUUAGACAGCUGGAAAGAUAUUGAUGAAUAUAAUGAUGAUAACAGACUACUGCAAGUUAAAGAAGAAUUAGAUGGCAAGGAUGAUGAUCAGUUUUAUAGAACUAAACUGAUGGCUUCUAAGGGAAAAAUGGCAGAAUUGGCGGAGAGAAAAUGCGUUUUUAAUUGGAAAUUCAGCUGUGACAACAAAUCAGAAAGACUUAUUGAGGCAGGCUAUGCCAGAAUUCAGAACAUUAUGAGAUGUAGCGGGAUCUACAAUGACGAUUUACACAUUUCACUGCAGAAAAAGCUUGAGAAUAAUGCUAACUUAACCAUUGACUGCCACAAAAGCUGUGUUUCUAGUUACACAUCCACUCAUCACGUUAAAGUGUUCAAAAAGCGAAAACAUUCUCAAGAAUCAUCAUCCUAUAUUCCACCAAAGAGAAGGCGACAAUCGUCGGCUUGUGGAAUGUUUGAUCUCCUUCAGGACUGUUUGUUUUGUGGAGAAAAUGUGAACUAAAAAAAGACAGUAAGAAUCCAUCACGUUGGAGAGCUGCCUAUAAAUUCAGACAAAUACUCAGUCCAGAUAGAAAGACGACCCUGAAGGAAUCAAUCUUAGAGAUAUGUCAUAGCGAGUCUGCCGUGGUGUCUGCAAGUAUGCUGGUGGAAGACCAAAUCAACUUAGUUCGAGAGCGCCCUGCUAUUUAUGAUCCCAGUGACCCCAACCACUGGGAUCGUGAUGUCAUUGCUUCCCUAUGGAAGGAGGUUGCUGCUGCAUUGUCGUGUACAGAACCCGAAUGUAAGGACAAAUGGCGCCACCUAAGAAGCAAUUUUAUGAGGGAAAGAAGAAAGAAUAGUGAAAAACCAUCUGGAUCAGGUAAUACACAGGCAAGGAGGUGGGUGUACUACGAUGCCAUGCAAUUUCUGAUCCCUUAUGUGACGCCACGACCAACAUCUUCAAACGUCCCUCAACCUCCUGAUGAAGACACCUGUCAUGAAACGGAAGAUGCAGAUCAAGAUUCUUCACUUUCUGCUGUCAUCGAAGCAUCAGAAAAUGCAUCUCCUCAAGAGGCUGCCAGUAACGUCGA